GAUGAAGAACGUAGCGAAAUGCGAUAAGUAGUGUGAAUUGCAGAAUUCAGUGAAUCAUCGAAUCUUUGAACGCACAUUGCGCCCCAUGGUAUUCCGUGGGGCAUGCCUGUUUGAGCGUCAUUUGCCCCCUCAAGCUCCGCUUGGUGUUGGGCGUCUGUCCCGCUUCGCGCGCGGACUCGCCCCAAAGGUAUUGGCAGCGGUCGUGCCAGCUUCUCGCGCAGCACAUUGCGCUUCUCGAGGCACCGGUGGGCCCGCGUCCAUCAAGCUCACCCCCCCAGUUUGACCUCGGAUCAGGUAGGGAUACCCGCUGAACUUAAGCAUAUCAAUAAGCGGAGGA
rnacentral:misc_RNA from 1 species